UACAGAGACUGCAAGCGUUAUUCGGAUUCACUGGGCGUAAAGGGUGCGCAGGCGGCUAAGUGUGUCAGAUGUGAAAUCCCGAGGCUCAACCUCGGAACUGCGUCUGAAACUACUUGGCUAGAGUAUUGGAGAGGGUAACGGAAUUCACGGUGUAGCAGUGAAAUGCGUAGAUAUCGUGAGGAACACCAGAGGCGAAGGCGGUUACCUGGACAAUUACUGACGCUCAGGCACGAAAGCGUGGGGAGCAAACAGG
rnacentral:rRNA from 1 species